GCUGGGCAUGGUGGUGCAUGCCUGUAAUUCCAGCUACUGGGGAGGCUGAGACAUGAGAAUCACUUGAACCCAGGAGGUGGAGGUUGCAGUGAGCCAAGAUUGUGCCACUGCACUCCAGCCUGGGUAACAGAGCGAGACUCUGUCUCAA
ensembl:misc_RNA Metazoa_SRP Metazoan signal recognition particle RNA